AAACGCUUAGUCGGUUUUUAUACAGAGAUCGAUAGAAAACUGACGCUUAUAUGUUAUACCCGUUACUCAGUAAAAGCGCUGGAAAAAUCUAAAUGUAGCAAACGAGUGAUGUGCUCAGUAAGGAAGCUAAGCUAGGGAGUUUUUCCCUUGCCAAACAACUCGCAACAUAAAUAUCGAAUCUUAAAACUCACAACAGAAAAAGGUAAACAAAUGCAUAAACUAUAAAUAAACGACGAAAACUUUAAGUUCUAGUGGCCGCAGAUGUUGUGACUAUGCGGACCCACCCACUAAAUCUAACCCACGUGAAGGGAAAAUUAUCUUACCAGAUAUAUAUAUAUAUAUAAAGGAAAAGAAAAGAAAUUAACGUGAAAUGCAAUAAGAUAAAGAUUGGCUUUCUGUUUGUUUAGUACAUUAAAACUAUAAAUCACACCACUGUGUGAGGCUGCAAAAGAAAAAAGACUGCGUGGAUUCAGCCCUUGAACAGCUGCGACUUUAACAAGAGCAAACUGAUCCUUCCCUUUUUUUUCAUUCCCCUUCCAUCUUUUUCUUCUCAUUGCGGUUCAAAGGUGAUGCGGUCAGGCAAGGCAAAGCAGGCAGUGGUUAAGCAGGAGCCCUUUUAGGGCGCGUACAUAAAACGCAUCUAGUUUCCGGUCCAGCCUCUUUGCCCCACGUGCCCCAACUAAUACAAUCCGGGCAACAUAACCGGUAUCAAAGCACCUGGAGAUCAACAUCUAGGAGCUGAUAGGAUCAAUAAACCAACAUUAAAUUAAACAUUUGUGACUAAAAGCAACACCUGCAAAUUCGACAUGCUAUACUACAAGCUCAGCCAAUACACAAACAAACUAACAAUCAAAAUUCAAUUUAUACGUUGCAGGCCUGAAGUACCUGUAGUGCAGAAGAUGAUAGAUCGCGUUACAGAGAGCUUUUAGAACCAAACCAGAGCUGGUUUAGGAAUAAAUAAACAUUAUUUUCAGUAAUUAA